UACGGAAUGUGCAAACGUUAUUCGGAAUCACUGGGCUUAAAGAGUCCGUAGGCGGCCUGUUAGGUGAGGUGUGAAAUCCCCCGGCUCAACCGAGGAAUUGCGCUUCAAACCGGCAGGCUUGAGGAGGAUAGAGGUGGGCGGAACUGAUGGUGGAGCGGUGAAAUGCGCAGAUAUCGGGAGGAACACCAGUAGCGAAGGCGGCUCGCUGGGCCACACCUGACGCUGAGACGCGAAAGCUAGGGGAGCGAACAGG
rnacentral:rRNA from 1 species